GUCGAGAAUAAUUCACAAUGGACGAAAGUCUGAUGGUGCAACGCCGCGUGGAGGAUGAAGGUCUUCGGAUUGUAAACUCCUGUCAUCGGGGAGUAAGACCUGGCGGUAAAUAGCCGGCAGGGUUGAUAGUACCAGAAGAGGAAGGGACGGCUAACUUCGUGCCAGCAGCCGCGGUAAUACGAAGGUCCCAAGCGUUGUUCGGAAUCACUGGGCGUAAAGGGAGCGUAAGCGGCGUGGUAAGUCAGAUGUGAAAUCCCGGGGCUCACGCCCGGAACUGCAUCCGAUACUGCCAUGCUUGAGGGUUGGAGAGGUAGCUGGAAUUCUCGGUGUAGCAGUGAAAUGCGUGGAUAUCGAGAGGAACAGUCGUGGAGAAGGCGAGCUACUGGACAACAUCUGACGCUGAGGCUCGAAGGCCAGGGGAGCAAAAGGGAUUAGAAACCCCGGUAGUCC
rnacentral:rRNA from 1 species